AUGGGAGAAGUGCGAGGUGUGGACACGGGCAACCCUGCCAUGAGAUGGAGGUCUCUGAAUGUCGAAAGCGAGUGAUCUGCAGAUGGACAGUGCCCACGGGGCAGUCAGCCUUUAAGGGCAGUGUGGGAACAUGCAAAGAACAGGACCCCAGGCUCCCGUUGCAACCAGAAUACCAUCAGAGCUCCUCUGGAACAUGUCCUUGUCUUCUCAGAGUGUGAAGUGUGUGUGUGACAGUGCUUUUCUGAGGACUCAGGUGACCUGGAGGCUGGAGAACAGCAUGGAGCAAGGAAAACAAAGACGAUGUGCUGGAGUGUAUGUUGCUUUCAUAAUUAUGUGAAAGAAAAUGUAGAGAAAUUUGAAAGGAGAACUGGUUAUCAGUAGUGCCAUCCUCCCCAAAUAUCUUCAAAUACACACCACCAUCCAUGUGUGGGUUGAUUAAGGAGCUGACGUUCAUUAGAUUUGCAGUCUCCUGACCUGAUAUGCAUCAGAAUCACUGGGAGAACAAACAAACAAAAAUGAAUCCAAAACAAGCAACAAACAGACAGAUUCUCAAGUCUUGCCAAGUCCAAAGAUUGAUUUGGUGGAGAAAUUGUACUUUGAAAGCUGCCCAGGCCUUCAUGAAUGCCACAGUGGAUCUACUCUGCCCUCCUCUUGCCAUCAUCACCCUCCCCAGGAGCUGGAAAUCAUGAGCUUUAUUUCAAGAUCCAGCCAUGUGAUUAUAGAUGGCUGUGUGGUCUUGGAGCUUCAGUCUCAUCAUCUGCAAAGUGGGGACGAUGCUUUCCUAUACAUUUUACAGAACUGUCUGGUUCAAAGCAACAUGUGUAAAAGGUCUUAUUUAAUUACUUAUCAAAGGUUAGUGCACUAUAGAAAUGUGAGAGGCUUCAGUUAGACCCAGCAGUUUCUUAGAAGUUCAAAGAGUUACAUAAUUAAAAGUUGGUUAAUAAAUGAUUAAUUUGGCAAAAUAUUUGAGGUAGUGUUUUACUUUCCCAAAGUGAUCACAUUGAUUAUUUCUGUUUUCUCGUCAUAAUAACAGGAUUGGCCACGCAGUAAGGUGGUACAGGCAUAAUAUUCAUUUUCUUUUUUUUUUUUUAACUAGCUAGUAAAAGGUAAGAAAACAUUUAUUGGAGCAUGUGCACCUGGUGUCAAUUUUUUCUCCCAACAUUAUAUUAUGAAGUUUUCAAAUAAGUAGAAAAGUUGAAUGAAAGACUCUCUACCAAGAUCACCUACAAACCCAACCCACCAUCUAAAUCCUACCGUUAGCAUUUUACUACUUGAUUUAUUGCCAAUCUGCUCAUAUAUCUAUCCUUCCAUCCAUUCAUUAAUCCUUCUUACUUUUGGGAUACAUUUCAAGGUUACUUGCAGGCAUCAGUAAACUUUCCCUUAACUGGUGAAACAGCAUGGAUAUCAUUAACUGGAAUUUGACAUCUUCUUAGAGUACUUUUUUUUCUUGUUUAUGUAAAUGGGGUCUAAUUUAAUGUUAUAAAAAUUAUGGCAGAG
rnacentral:lncRNA from 1 species